AUUUUGGCCAUUUGCGGCCGUAGGCUCUGUCCAAAUGGACACCGACUCGGCUCCCGGCAACGCCAUCCGUCUGCAGACUAAACGCAAACAUGUCAGCUGGAAUAAUCUUCUGGGGACAUUCAACAGGCAGUUAAGUGUUCUACACCCAAAUAAUAGCCAUUAGAAUAAUGGCAGGCGUUGGAAGGAGUCUCUCAUAUGGAAUCAUUUAAGAAAUUUAGCUAGUAAAUUGCAGCCCUCAUUAUCAUCUGUUGUGGACAACACUGAAGAAUUUCCAUCACAUUCUGACUGACAUGCACAGUAUAAGCACAAGAUAUAAAUAUAGCCUCCACAUGCCAGCCACUAAUGACGAGUAUGUGUAAAAACAACUUCAAUAAUAUUGGACUUCGUCUUUUAAACCAAUUGCCACAAUAUAUAAAAGAUAUACCGGCACUAUAUAAAUUUAAAAAGACUU